rnacentral:rRNA from 1 species
AGUCGUGGGGGAUAACCACUCGAAAGAGUGGCUAAUACCGCAUACGACCUGAGGGUGAAAGCGGGGGACCGCAAGGCCUCGCGCGAUUGGAGCGGCCGAUGUCGGAUUAGCUAGUUGGUGGGGUAAAGGCUUACCAAGGCGACGAUCCGUAGCUGGUCUGAGAGGACGACCAGCCACACUGGGACUGAGACACGGCCCAGACUCCUACGGGAGGCAGCAGUGGGGAAUUUUGGACAAUGGGCGCAAGCCUGAUCCAGCCAUGCCGCGUGCGGGAAGAAGGCCUUCGGGUUGUAAACCGCUUUUGUCAGGGAAGAAAAGCUCUGGGCUAAUACCUCGGAGUGAUGACGGUACCUGAAGAAUAAGCACCGGCUAACUACGUGCCAGCAGCCGCGGUAAUACGUAGGGUGCGAGCGUUAAUCGGAAUUACUGGGCGUAAAGCGUGCGCAGGCGGUUGUGCAAGACAGAUGUGAAAUCCCCGGGCUUAACCUGGGAACUGCAUUUGUGACUGCACGGCUAGAGUGUGGCAGAGGGGGAUGGAAUUCCGCGUGUAGCAGUGAAAU